CCGAAGGUGAAUGGUUUGCCCUCCGGAAACGCCCCAGCAGCGACUCUAAACAACUGCAUUAGUCGCCCUGAACGGGCUGGCAACGCCGUCACUGUGCGCCGGAAGUCCCCUGAACUCGGGGUCAACCAGCAGCUCCAGCUUUUUUGGAGUUCACAGAUCAAACGAUAGCGGCCACUUCGGUGGUUGAGAUAUGAACGGCCCCUGCUGUUACCAGCUGGAGACUUUGCGGAACCUGCGGAAGGAUCAUUA
rnacentral:rRNA from 1 species